UUUUCAGAGAUGAGAAUGUGCCUUCGGGAACCGUGAGACAGGUGCUGCAUGGCUGUCGUCAGCUCGUGUUGUGAAAUGUUGGGUUAAGUCCCGCAACGAGCGCAACCCUUAUCCUUUGUUGCCAGCGGUCCGGCCGGGAACUCAAAGGAGACUGCCAGUGAUAAACUGGAGGAAGGUGGGGAUGACGUCAAGUCAUCAUGGCCCUUACGACCAGGGCUACACACGUGCUACAAUGGCGCAUACAAAGAGAAGCGACCUCGCGAGAGCAAGCGGACCUCAUAAAGUGCGUCGUAGUCCGGAUUGGAGUCUGCAACUCGACUCCAUGAAGUCGGAAUCGCUAGUAAUCGUGGAUCAGAAUGCCACGGUGAAUACGUUCCCGGGCCUUGUACACACCGCCCGUCACACCAUGGGAGUGGGUUGCAAAAGAAGUAGGUAGCUUAACCUUCGGGAGGGCGCUUACCACUUUGUGAUUCAUGACUGGGGUGAAGUCGUAACAAGGUAACCGUAGGGGAACCUGCGGUUGGAUCACCUCCUUACCUGAAAGAAGC
rnacentral:rRNA from 1 species